rnacentral:tRNA from 1 species
GGGGCGUUAGCUCAGUUGGUAGAGCAUCGGACUUUUAAUCCGCUGGUCGCUGGUUCGAAUCCAGCACGCCCCA